GCAGAUCCCAGUGAUGAACUUCGGCCCAGACCGCACUGUGGAAGCCGGUGGGUUUGGAAGCCACUGCUGUGGGUCGGCAAGGAGAAUUCAAGCCCCGAACAUUGUGCAAACAGGAUAUUCACUUGUGUCAGAGAGAUCAAAAAAGGCUUGAGGUUUUUCUUCACAGCCUCAGCCUGCCUCCCUCUCCUCUCUCACUUUAUCUAGUCCUUGCAGUGAGCAGGCGCCUCUUGUACAGCAAGCAGGAAGACAUGGCUGCGGGGGAGACACAGCUCUAUGCCAAGGUCUCCAACAAGCUCAAGGGCCGCAGCACCCCCUCACUCCUGGAUCCCCUCCUGGCCAUGGGCUUCCCCACACAUACCGCGCUCAAAGCACUAGCGGCCACAGGGAGGAAGACAGCCGAGGCGGCAGCAGACUGGCUGCAUGGUCACUGCAAUGACCCUUCUCUGGAUGACCCUAUCCCUCAGGAGUAUGCUCUCUUCCUCUGCCCCACGGGCCCCUUGCUGGAAAAACUCCAAGAGUUCUGGAGAGAGAGCAGACGGCAGUGUGCAAAGAACAGAGCACAUGAGGUCUUCCCUCACGUGACACUCUGUGACUUUUUCACGUGUGAAGACCAGAAGGUGGAGUGCUUGUAUGAGGCUCUGAGACGUGCAGGGGACAGGAUCCUGGGCUCCUUCCCCACCCUGGUUCCUCUUGUUCUCCAUUCUUCCAUCAGCUACCUCGGCUUCUUCAUCAACGACAGCCCCGCUGACGCCAUCCGGGAAUUCGCCAUGGCGUUUGCCACAGAGGCGGCAGUCCUGGCAGACUGUACCAUCAAGCCCUGCACCAAGCAGCUGCACCUGACCUUGGCCCAUAAGUUCUACCCUCACCAUCAAAGGACCCUGGAGCAGCUGGCCAAAGCCAUCCAGCCCAGCCACUCCUGCCAAUGGACAGCUGCCCUGUACUCCCGAGACAUGCGUUUUGUGCACUACCAGACCCUGAAGGCGCUGUUCCAGUACAAACCCCAGAAUGCAGAUGAGCUAAUGCUCAGUGCUGGUGACUACAUCUUCGUGGACCCCACUCAGCAAGAAGAGGCCAGCGAGGGCUGGGCCAUUGGGAUCUCACAUCGGACUGGCUGCCGGGGCUUCUUGCCAGAGAACUACACGGAGCGAGCCAAUGAGGCUGACACCUGGGUUAAGCACAGGACGUAUACAUUCAAUCUAGCCAUGGACCUGAACUCUAGGAAGGAUUUUGAAGCCAGUUGCAGGGGAAAUGGGGAACCCCACACUCCGUCAAUGUCAAAGAGUGUUAGCAGCAUACAAGCUUUGCAGGCUACCAUCUCGAGGAGAGGCAUUCUGGUCGUACGUCAUGGCGAGAGAGUGGACCAGGUCUUUGGGAAGUCUUGGCUACAGCAGUGUACUACUGCUGAUGGAAAAUACUACAGGCCAGACCUGAACUUCCCCCGCAGCCUGCCAAGGAGGAGCAACGGCAUCAAAGACUUUGAAAACGAUCCACCGCUAUCAUCCUGUGGAAUUUUCCAGGCCAGACUUGCCGGAGAAGCCCUGCUGGACAGCGGCGUCAGAGUCACCGCGGUCUUCGCGUCUCCAGCCCUGCGCUGCGUGCAGACAGCCAAGCACAUCCUAGAAGGUGGGAAUUUGCACAUCCGCUGAAGGUCCCUGCCAACUGUUGGUUUUUUGCCGGGUCAUUGAAGAGCCAGCGGCCAAUGGCUGGGAAAGGGGAGAGAGGCGGGACUUUUUGGAUUCGCAGGCAAGAAAUGCUAAGGAAAGAAGGGAAAGAAUGACCAGGAUUGGGAAGCAGAGCGAUCAGACUAAAGAGCCCACUAACAGGUAAGACUCCAGGUAAGUGGCCUCACACUCCCCCGAUUGGGUCUAGGGGAGCAGAGAUGAAAUAUAGAUUUGGCAAGUAUAACUCAGGAAUAUUGGAGGGGAAAGUGGGUUAGCCAUGUGGAGUUAGGGAGGAGCCCUGUUGCACUGUUAAGGCAUGAUAAAAAUUAAGCUGGCAUGACUUUCAUUUGUGAAUCCAGAGCUCUAUGGAGGGUGCAGAGCUGGGAGCAUCGAGUGGCCUAUAAAUAUUUACCGCAACACCAGAUGACAUCAACUACUCAACUAAGACACCUUCUUCAGAUGUAGAACUCUUGGCUCCUUCUCCAGUACCAUGUCUCCUUGUGCGUCACCAUGCUUCUGGCCAUGAUGCCAAGGACUGAGCCUCUGAACUGUAAGCCUGCCCCAAUUAAACGCUUCCCUUCAUAAGCGUUAUCGCGGUCAUGGUAUCUCUUCACAGCAAUAAAGCCCCAACUGAAACAAGCCCUAAUCCCUGCUCUCGGUGGAUCGCAGAGGGGUAAGCUUCCAGUUUGUCCCCCUAAACCAUGUUGGCAGAUGUGACUAUUCCCUGCCACGUCUAGUUUUCUCCCUCUUGGGAUAAUGUAGAGGACCAGUCACACCAGGCCAGUCCCUGCAGAGGUCAGGAUCAAGUGCAGACAAGCUGGACUUUAUGAGAAUCUAUGCUGGUCUCUCCAGGCUCACUCAGGUCCCUCAGACUGGCCGGAGGAUAGUUCGGUAGAGGAGGGAGAAACCUGCUCCUUCUAAGGUACCUCACACUAGCCCCGCCAACUCCAAAGGGUGUGCUUUCUUACCCUGGUCUAUGUCGUAGCUGUUCUCCUGGCUCUCCUGCCUGAACGUGUCUACGUCUUCAUCGGCCCCCCUCGGCUCCAGCUCGCCCUCAAAACCUUCUGCCUGGAUGUCUUCUGAGGGGUCACCCACGCCUGGGAUGAAGACAGCAGCGGCAGAUAGAAUGAGAUCACCAGAGAACAUGAGUGCAGGGACACCUGAUCCCAUUUGCUGUCGGCUGCCCAACCCAAGUCACUCCCACGGCCAGGCGAUAACUCUGACUAUUAGAGAAUCCCCCAGGGUUCCUGGGGCCUGCAUCUUAGCAGGACAUGUCUUCCAUCUAGUUGAUCUUUGUUCUCCUCCUCUACUCCCUGGGAGAGUCUCAUCCCCUUAUAACAUCCUGCACCCCAACUGACCCACUGGCCAUUUCCCAGAGGCCCCAGCUACACCAGGCCUGGGAACAGGUUCUCAGUGCCUUCACCCAUAGGGUGAGACAAGUAUUCAAGGAGAGGGGUAACCAAGCCGGCCCUGCAUCAGAGUCACUCAGAAUGCUCUCUGAAACACACACGCUUCUCACUUGGCCAGUUGGGAAUAGAAACUAAUAAUUUGCGUAGGUUCCAGGUCAGGAUUGCAGACUGGUCAUUUGCAUAGGAUCCCAAGUGACCCCUGAGGCUGCUGAGCCAGGAACUAUACUCAGAGACUAUCCCCAAAGGGGCCCAUGUGCUCUGGCACUAGCUGACUUUCCCCAGGUGGUGGGUGACCCUUCUUUCAGCUGCUGGCAAUCCACAACUGAUAGCUCAGAACCUGGGUGCCUCCCAUGGAUGUGACCCCCCCUCCCAUCAGCAAAGCCUCAGCACUGCACCACCCCCAUCUCCCACACCUGCUGCACGGCCCCUGGUUCAGGCAGGUCCCAGCUUCAGAGACGUCACAGCACUGGUCACCUCCUGUUUCUAGCCAAUCCUGGUUCUUCCGCAGUUGACCCUCCUCAGGUCAACUCCCAAUAAACUCUGUGUGUGUGUGCCUCAGA